rnacentral:rRNA from 1 species
AGAGGAGUCUGCGGCCCAUCAGCUCGUUGGUGGGGUAAUGGCCUACCAAGGCUACGACGGGUAGGGGGUCUGAGAGGAUGUCCCCCCACACUGGAACUGAAACACGGUCCAGACGCCUACGGGUGGCAGCAGGGAGGAAUAUUGGACAAUGGGGGGAAACCCCCGAUCCAGCAACGCCGCGUGAGGGAAGAAGGCCUUCGGGUUGUAAACCUCUUUUAAGGGAGACGAGAAAGGACGGUAUCCCUUGAAUAAGUCACGGCUAACUACGUGCCAGCCGCCGCGGUAA